rnacentral:misc_RNA from 1 species
AUAGACACUUGGCGCUUCUACGAUGCCCUAAAUUCUCGAAGAAGGAGGAACCAAAAAACAGCAGACAAAAUCAGAGGGAAAAAUAAUUUUAUUAAUAGAAAAAGAUUACGAAAUGGGGACGAAUAUCAACUUCAACAACUUCACCAACGACCCUUCUUCGGACGCCGGUGGGGGAGGGGGCAGCGGCAGCCGCCCUCCGGGGAACUUUCCAUUGGCCAGACAGCCAUCGAUCUACUCUUUGACCUUCGAUGAGUUUCAGAACACCAUGGGGGGGAUAGGAAAGGACUUUGGGUCAAUGAACAUGGAUGAGCUGCUCAAGAACAUAUGGAGUGCAGAGGAAACACAGAACAU